rnacentral:tRNA from 1 species
GGCUGCUUAGCUUAAUGGUAGAAUACUCAGCUGGUAUCUGAGGAGUGCAGGCUUGUGUCCUGUGGCUGUCU